GGGAUUUUUCCAGUCCACUCCUCGCGCGCGACGUGCGUCCUGGGACCGCCCAAUCCCCGAGCCCUCACCCCUUCUUCCUCCUCUCUCCCACGUCAGCCGCCAUAGCAAGAACCGUAGCCCCCUUCCCUAGAUCCCCGUUGCCGCCGCCCCUCCCGCAUCUGCUCUCUCCUUCCUCUCUCUGUUGUCAGCCGCCGCUACAACUCCUCCCUUCCCCGUCUUUGUCCGUGCAGCCGACCAACUUAGCUCCGCCCGGCGAUCGCUGCCUCCCCAGUUCAUCAUCCCUCCCUUGCUGCUCUACUUUCACCAGGGACGGACGAAUCCAUGCACCCCGUCGCCUAGAACCGCUAGGUGAAGAAGAUGGACGAGCGCGAGGGUCGGAGGAGGCCACAAGGCGACGGAUCUAGCGCGGGAUUACGGGUUUCAAGACCCUCGUGGUUGACCUCCUCUUCGCUUCUUCCUCGUACUACUGCAUCCCUUCGGUUCUUCCCCUCUAUAAUGUGAUGCAGAUUACUUGUGAUUUUCUGCAAAAUCAACUUGUCAAGGAGUGGUGUCAAUGGAAGGCGUGACAGUCAUUCUGGUGACAUAUGCACAUCAGGUCGGCACCGCUGUUGUCACUGGGCAGAAUGGAUGACUGGCCAUGGGCAGGCUCGGAGCCCUCUGCGAACAGGUUUGCAUGUUCAGUCAAUGGGAAAUUGGUAGCAACUUUCCUGCACUUUUUGGAUGCAUUGCUUUGAUAGUUUUGCUUGCGGUGCCUAAUCAACUUGUCAAGGAGUGGUGUCAAUGGAAGCCGUGACAGUCAUUCUGGUGACAUAUGCACAUCAGGUCGGCACCGCUGUUGUCACUGGGCAGAAUGGAUGACUGGCCAUGGGCAGGCUCGGAGCCCUCUGCGAACAGGUUUGCAUGUUCAGUCAAUGGGAAAUUGGUAGCAACUUUCCUGCACUUUUUGGAUGCAUUGCUUUGAUAGUUUUGCUUGCGGUGCCUAAAUUACAGCCUGCCAAUGGCGUGGAGUUUAGGUGGCUAGCCCAUGCAUUGGGAAGAGUUUGGGCGGGUCGCGGUUGAUAUCGGACCUGUAAAUGAAGAAAUUUUCAUUGCAGUGGGCAUAAUUAAUGGUGUGGUGGGGCUUAGUUGCGCGCUCGUUGGUCUGCCCAGGGCGAAGGAGUUCACCGUGGUGGACAUGCCACUCCUGGAGCGGCUCUUCAUGUUCCUGCCGCCUAAUGUUGUGGUGGGGCUUAGGAUCGCUUGUGCUCCCAACCCGCGGGUGCUCGCCUACCUAGACACAAAGAGCUCGCAUGCUACAGAUUGGUGUCAGCAUCAUUGGGGCACAUCUCUCUGUAACUAUCAAUGACUGGUGGUGAGUUCAGCGGCUGCCGCCUCCUCUUCUCUUCGAAUCCAGUAAUCCCUCUCGUGAGUGCAUCAAGGGAUGUCAUGCCCUCAACUAGGUGAAGCACCAGGUCCACUUGAGCUCCUCCUUAAAUAGAUGUGUUCGUGUCAUUUAGCCCCAAAAUUCAGUUCAGUUCGGAUCUACAUCUUUUGCCGACCCCUUUUCUUGCGAGUUUAUGAUUCAGACCAUUCCAUAACAAAAUGCAUAUAUGGCCUCACGAUCAUUUUACAAAAUAGAAGUAUAGAGGAAUUAAUAUAUAGAAGUUAUGACCAUCGUGUAGAGUGAUCUCUGAAGAUGGAUUGCAGAUAAGUAUAUUAACAAUUUAGUAUUGACCCUAUUUCUGUUGAUACUUUACUUUACUAAAUCUUUCGUAUUAACCAUAAGCAUAAAGGAUAUCAUGUUGGGUUGCAUUGCCAUGUAAGGAAUGGGUAUCCUAAACCUGAGAAAGUACCAACGCAGAUGAUAGUUUCUUAGGAAUAUCAUCGUGUUGUUACAGCAAAGAUGGCUAGCUGUAGCACCUUCUAUAAUUCAGUUUACUAUUAGGGAUAUCAUUCAAUCUCUGAACUAUGUAUUACCGUUAUAAAUUUGGCUAGGGAAUCUCUCAUUUUAAUAUUGCAAUGAAGUGGUUGGGAUGGAGAGGGUUUUUUACUUGACUACUUUCUGACUAUAUACCUUUCUGUUUUGUGCAAGUACAAAGUAUUAGUAAUUUCAGUCUGUCCAAUUUUUGCAAGGAUAAUUGUGUGAGUCUGGUCCAAACUUUAAGACAAUCACUUAAUACAUUCAUGGGAUCACCAACUUUUGGCGUUUUUUGAGACUAGCUAGGUGGGAUCAUGAAUUCCAAGAAGACUGUGGUAAUUAUCCUACUUUGUUUGCAAGAUUGGUUUCUAAAAAUAUCAUGGUAGUUGUAAUUUCAGGUUGCUGCUGAUUUGACUGAAUAUGUUUUGAUGGUUUUUUAAUCUUUCAUCUUUACUGUGUGUAAAAGUAACUAAUUCAUUCCUAAUUGAAUCUUUCAAUGGUUGAUGGGAACACUACAGAUCUUGCUUCUCUGCUUUUUAAUGUUUCAUAUGUUUUCAUGUACAAACCGAGGCGUGCGGGCACCAUGUGUUUCUAUUGCAGAGGUUGAUCACCGUGUGUAUGGCUUGCUGGUUGCGCCAGUAGAGUUUCUCAGAAUGUUGUUUGUCCAGUCUUUGUUAAUAAUGUGAUCAUCACAGAACUAAAAGACAAUGUUUGGUACUGAAUUGCAGUUCGCUUUGUUAAUUUCUGCGACACCAUUUCAUAUUUACAUUUGAAUUGUACUUACUUAGUUUGUAAGGCCUUAUAGUUUCAAUGCUUUAUUUGCUUGUGGAACUACGGCUCUGUUACAUUUUGAUGAUUGUAUAUUUUUGUAUAUGAAAUUUGUAGAACAAAAGUAAAAAAAUGGAGGGCCUAGCUUACUUUGGUAUUAAGGGACAAGGAGCUGUAGCGUCAUGGAUUGGAGCGAAGGGGAGGUCCUGACGACUGAAGAUGGUGUGUAGGGGAGGAGCUCGAAGCGGCACUCCCAUGGAGGGAUGGCUGAUGUCAAGGCAAGU